AACGUAGGAGGCGAGCGUUAUCCGGAUUUACUGGGCGUAAAGCGCGUGUAGGCGGCUCGGAAAGUUGGAUGUGAAAGCUCCCGGCUUAACUGGGAGAGGUCGUUCAAUACUACCGGGCUAGAGGACAUGAGAGGGAAGUGGAAUUCCGGGUGUAGUGGUGAAAUGCGUAGAUAUCCGGAGGAACACCAGUGGCGAAAGCGGCUUCCUGGCAUGUGCCUGACGCUCAGACGCGAAAGCUAGGGUAG
rnacentral:rRNA from 1 species